rnacentral:rRNA from 1 species
CCUACGGGAGGCAGCAGUGAGGAAUAUUGGUCAAUGGGCGCGAGCCUGAACCAGCCAAGUAGCGUGAAGGAUGACUGCCCUACGGGUUGUAAACUUCUUUUAUAAAGGAAUAAAGUGAGGCACGUGUGCCUUUUUGUAUGUACUUUAUGAAUAAGGAUCGGCUAACUCUGUGCCAGCAGCCGCGGUAAUACGGAGGAUCCGAGCGUUAUCCGGAUUUAGUGGGUUUAAAGGGAGCGUAGAUGGGUUGUUAAGUCAGUUGUGAAAGUUUGCGGCUCAACCGUAAAAUUGCAAUUGAUACUGGCAGCCUUGAGUACAGUUGAGGUAGGCGGAAUUCGUGGUGUAGCGGUGAAAUGCUUAGAUAUCACGAAGAACUCCGAUUGCGAAGGCAGCUUACUAAGCCAUAACUGACACUGAAGCACGAAAGCGUGGGGAUCAAACAGGAUUAGAUACCCCUGUAGUC